rnacentral:rRNA from 1 species
AUUGAACGCUGGCGGCAUGCCUUACACAUGCAAGUCGAACGGUAUGUGGCAACACAUAGAGUGGCGAACGGGUGAGUAACACGUGGGAACGUACCUUCUGCAGGGGGAUAACUGACCGAAAGGACAGCUAAUACCGCAUAAGACCGAGAGGAGAAAGGUGCAACAGCAUCGGCAGAGGAGCGGUCCGCGGACCAUCAGCUAGUUGGUGGGGUAAGAGCCUACCAAGGCAACGACGGAUAGCCGGCGUGAGAGCGUGGCCGGCCACAAGGACACUGAGAUACGGGUCCUACUCCUACGGGAGGCA